rnacentral:rRNA from 1 species
GAACCUACGGGGGGCAGCAGUGGGGGAUAUUGCACAAUGGGGGGAACCCUGAUGCAGCGACGCCGCGUGGGCGAUGGAGCGCCUCGGCGCGUAAAGCCCUAUCAGCAGGGAAGAAGAUGACGGUACCUGACUAAGAAGCCCCGGCUAAAUACGUGCCAGCAGCCGCGGUAAUACGUAUGGGGCAAGCGUUAUCCGGAUUUACUGGGUGUAAAGGGAGCGUAGACGGCAUAGCAAGUCUGAAGUGAAAGCCCGUGGCUCAACCGCGGAACUGCUUUGGAAACUGUUAAGCUGGAGUACUGGAGAGG